UGCCAGCAGCCGCGGUAAUACGAACUGUGCGAACGUUAUUCGGAAUCACUGGGCUUAAAGGGUGCGUAGGCGGACAGGUAGGUCAGAUGUGAAAGCCCACGGCUCAACCGUGGAAUUGCGUUUGAAACCACUUGUCUUGAGGGGGUCAGAGGAGAGCGGAACUGAUGGUGGAGCGGUGAAAUGCGUUGAUAUCAUCAGGAACACCGGUGGCGAAAGCGGCUCUCUGGGACCCUUCUGACGCUGAGGCACGAAAGCUAGGGUAGCGAACGGGAUUAGAUA
rnacentral:rRNA from 1 species